rnacentral:rRNA from 1 species
GACGAACGCUGGCGGCGUGCUUAACACAUGCAAGUCGAGCGGUAAGGCCCUUUCGGGGGUACACGAGCGGCGAACGGGUGAGUAGCACGUGGGUGACCUGCCCUCAGCUCUGGGAUAAGCCUGGGAAACCGGGUCUAAUACCGGAUAUGACUCCAUGACGCAUGUUGUGGGGUGGAAAGCCUUGUGCGGCUGAGGAUGGGCCCGCGGCCUAUCAGCUUGUUGGUGGGGUGAUGGCCUACCAAGGCGACGACGGGUAGCCGGCCUGAGAGGGCGACCGGCCACACUGGGACUGAGACACGGCCCAGACUCCUACGGGAGGCAGCAGUGGGGAAUCUUGCGCAAUGGGCGAAAGCCUGACGCAGCGACGCCGCGUGAGGGAUGACGGCCU